ensembl:lncRNA
GUUCAAGGUCCCCAGCCAGCGCCAGACCCAGCUCCCCUAUGGCCCCUACCUCCUACUGGCAGGCAAGAAUGGGGAGGGCAGGGAGUUCCAGAGCCCAGGCCCCAGCAGCCUGCAUCGAGGGCUUGGUCCUACCUGCCUUAUCUCCUGGUGCUGCUUUCCAGAGUUCAGAGUCCACUGCUGCUGCUGCUGCUGCUGCUGUCCUCACUGCCACAGCCACAGGCACAGGCACUGCUGCUGAUCCAACAGCCUGUGACCAUGCAGAGAGCCGGGCUGCCCCCCCACCCCAGCCUCACACCUGGAGCCAACUUCCUGCCUCAGUUGUCUAGCCCGGAAGACCCUGGACAAGUCACUUCACCUUCCCAUGCCUCGGUUUCCCCAUCUGUUAAACGAGCUGUGAAGAGGAUUUUCAACGAGCUGAAAUAAGGACAUCCCACGGUACCAGGGAUCAAACUCAGGACCUUGCACUUUCGAGGACAGCGCAGUACCACUGAGCUAAAUCCCCGGCCCUUGGAUCCAUCCAUAUUUUAGCUGAGAUUGAUGUUUCUUUUAAUGUAAAUAGGGAGGGAAGCAUUAAACUGUUUUGGUAAUCCACUGUUCAUUAUACAAGAAAUAACCAAGAGCUGAAUAUGAUGCAUACCUGUAAUCCCGAACUAGAGAGGCCAAGACAGGAGUAUUGGAAGUUCUGGAAGUUAAGGGCAGCCUGCACUACAUGGUGAGACCUUGUCUCAAAAGGCGGGGUGGAAGAUUCAGAGUAGAGAAAAGACAUGACAC